AACGAACGCUGGCGGCGUGCUUAAGACAUGCAAGUCGAACGGUAAGGCCCCUUCGGGGGUACACGAGUGGCGCACGGGUGAGUAACGCGUGGGUAAUCUGCCCCCUGGUCUGGGACAACUCCGGGAAACUGGAGCUAAUACCGGAUGAGCCCACAGGGUCCCCGGACCCAGUGGGAAAAGAUGGCCUCUUCUUGAAAGCUAUCGCGAGGGGAUGAGCCCGCGUCCCAUUAGCUUGUUGGUGGGUAACGGCCUACCAAGGCUUCGAUGGGUAGCUGGUCUGAGAGGAUGAUCAGCCACACUGGAACUGAGACACGGUCCAGACUCCUACGGGAGGCAGCAGUCGGGAAUUUUGGGCAAUGGGGGAAACCCUGACCCAGCAACGCCGCGUGAGGGAUGAAGGCCUUCGGGUCGUAAACCUCUGUCAGGAGGGAAGAAGAGCCUCGGGGUGAACAAUCCCGGGGAAUUGACGGUACCUCCGAAGGAAGCGCCGACUAACUCCGUG
rnacentral:rRNA from 1 species